rnacentral:rRNA from 1 species
CAUCAAAUCAGGUAGGACUACCCGCUGAACUUAA